AUUGAACGCUGGCGGCAUGCUUUACACAUGCAAGUCGAACGGCAGCGCGGGCUUCGGCCCGGCGGCGAGUGGCGAACGGGUGAGUAAUACAUCGGAACGUGCCCAGUAGUGGGGGAUAGCUCGGCGAAAGCCGGAUUAAUACCGCAUACGACCUGAGGGUGAAAGCGGGGGAUCUUCGGACCUCGCGCUAUUGGAGCGGCCGAUGGCAGAUUAGCUAGUUGGUGGGGUAAAGGCCUACCAAGGCGACGAUCUGUAGCUGGUCUGAGAGGACGACCAGCCACACUGGGACUGAGACGCGGCCCAGACUCCUACGGGAGGCAGCAGUGGGGAAUUUUGGACAAUGGGCGAAAGCCUGAUCCAGCAAUGCCGCGUGUGUGAUGAAGGCCUUCGGGUUGUAAAGCACUUUUGGCGGGAACGAAAAGGACUGUGCCAAUACCACGGUUCGAUGACGGUACCCGCAGAAUAAGCACCGGCUAACUACGUG
rnacentral:rRNA from 1 species